rnacentral:misc_RNA from 1 species
GAUGAAGAACGCAGCGAAGUGCGAUAAGUAAUGUGAAUUGCAGAAUUCCGUGAAUCAUCGAAUCUUUGAACGCAAAUUGCACUCUCUGGUAACCCGGGGAGUAUGCCUGUUUGAGGGUCAGUGUUAAUAAAAAUCGGUGCGUUGCAAUUUUUGUGAUGUUCCGGAGUUUGAGUUAUCUUAUCUUCUGAGUUUAAGAGGCUUAAAAUUGACCUUUUUUGUGCAUUUUAGACGUACAUAAAUUUUUUUUUAUUCGUUUAUCUUAAUGCCAAAAUCUAUUAGAUGCGACCAUAUCGUGUGGUUCCGUGUCUAUAAAUUUUUCAUGAUUUGACCUCAAAUCAGGUAGGAACACCCGCUGAACUUAAGCAUAUCAAUAAGCGGAGGA